AGGGCACUUGGCUGGUUCAGUUAGUAAAGCAUGAGACUCUUGGUCUUGGGGUUGUGAAUUCGAGCCCCUUUGGGCAUGGAGCCUGCUUC